rnacentral:rRNA from 1 species
GAUGAACGCUAGCGGCAGGCCUAAUACAUGCAAGUCGAGGGGUAAAUAUUGUAGCAAUACGAUAUGAGACCGGCGCACGGGUGCGUAACACGUAUGCAACCUACCUUAUACUGGGGUAUAGCUCCGAGAAAUCGGAAUUAAUCCCCCAUAACACUGCGCUGUGGCAUCACAGUGCAGUUAAAGCUCCGGCGGUAUAAGAUGGGCAUGCGGUGCAUUAGCUAGUUGGUGAGGUAAUGGCUCACCGAGGCUACGAUGCAUAGGGGGUCUGAGAGGAUGAUCCCCCACACUGGUACUGAGACACGGACCAGACUCCUACGGGAGGCAGCAGUAGGGAAGAUUGGUCAAUGGACGCAAGUCUGAACCAGCCAUGCCGCGUGCAGGAUGACGGCCCUAUGGGUUGUAAACUGCUUUUAUAUGGGAAGAAACCCCUGGAUGCGUCCGGGGCUGACGGUACCAUAUGAAUAAGGAUCGGCUAACUUCGUGCCAGCAGCCGCCGUAACAC